rnacentral:rRNA from 1 species
AAUGAACGCUGGCGGCGUGCUUAACACAUGCAAGUCGAACGAGAAAGGGAUUGCUUGCAGUCCCGAGUAGAGUGGCGCACGGGUGAGUAACACGUAGAUAAUCUGCCUUCAAGCCUGGGAUAACUAUUCGAAAGGGUAGCUAAUACCGGAUAAAGUCGAUCUACACAAGUAGAUUGAUGAAAGAUUGCCUCUUCUUGAAAGCAAUUGUUUGGAGAUGAGUUUGCGUACCAUUAGCUUGUUGGUGGGGUAAAGGCCUACCAAGGCAACGAUGGUUAGCUGGUCUGAGAGGAUGAUCAGCCACACUGGAACUGGAACACGGUCCAGACUCCUACGGGAGGCAGCAGUGAGGAAUUUUGCGCAAUGGGGGCAACCCUGACGCAGCAACGCCGCGUGAGUGAAGAAGGCCUUUGGGUCGUAAAGCUCUGUCAACAGGGAAGAAGUUACAGCUGUUUAAUAGAUGGUUGUAUUGACGGUACCUGUGGAGGAAGCG